GACGAACGCUGGCGGCGUGCUUAACACAUGCAAGUCGAACGGAAAGGCCCUGCUUUUGUGGGGUGCUCGAGUGGCGAACGGGUGAGUAACACGUGAGUAACCUGCCCUUGACUUUGGGAUAACUUCAGGAAACUGGGGCUAAUACCGGAUAGGAGCUCCUGCUGCAUGGUGGGGGUUGGAAAGUUUCGGCGGUGGGGGAUGGACUCGCGGCUUAUCAGCUUGUUGGUGGGGUAGUGGCUUACCAAGGCUUUGACGGGUAGCCGGCCUGAGAGGGUGACCGGCCACAUUGGGACUGAGGUACGGCCCAGACUCCUACGGGGGGCAGCAGUGGAGAAUAUUGCACAAUGGGCGGAAGCCUGAUGCAGCAACGCCGCGUGCGGGAUGACGGCCUUCGGGUUGUAAACCGCUUUCGCCUGUGACGAAGCGUGAGUGACGGUAAUGGGUAAAGAAGCACCGGCUAACUACGUG
rnacentral:rRNA from 1 species